rnacentral:rRNA from 1 species
GGGUUGUAAAGCUCUUUUGUCAGGGAAGAAACGGUGGUCUCUAAUAUAGACUGCUAAUGACGGUACCUGAAGAAUAAGCACCGGCUAACUACGUGCCAGCAGCCGCGGUAAUACGUAGGGUGCAAGCGUUAAUCGGAAUUACUGGGCGUAAAGCGUGCGCAGGCGGUUAUAUAAGUCAGAUGUGAAAUCCCCGGGCUCAACCUGGGAACUGCAUUUGANACUGUAUGGCUAGAGUGUGUCAGAGGGGGGUAGAAUUCCACGUGUAGCAGUGAAAUGCGUAGAUAUGUGGAGGAAUACCGAUGGCGAAGGCAGCCCCCUGGGAUAACACUGACGCUCAUGCACGAAAGCGUGGGGAGCAAACAGGAUUAGAUACCCUGGUAGUCCACGCCCU